rnacentral:rRNA from 1 species
AUUGAACGCUGGCGGCAGGCCUAACACAUGCAAGUCGAGCGGAUGAAGGGAGCUUGCUCCUGGAUUCAGCGGCGGACGGGUGAGUAAUGCCUAGGAAUCUGCCUGGUAGUGGGGGAUAACGUCCGGAAACGGGCGCUAAUACCGCAUACGUCCUGAGGGAGAAAGUGGGGGAUCUUCGGACCUCACGCUAUCAGAUGAGCCUAGGUCGGAUUAGCUAGUUGGUGGGGUAAAGGCCUACCAAGGCGACGAUCCGUAACUGGUCUGAGAGGAUGAUCAGUCACACUGGAACUGAGACACGGUCCAGACACCUACGGGAGGCAGCAGUGGGGAAUAUUGGACAAUGGGCGAAAGCCUGAACCAGCCAUGCCGCGUGUGUGAAGAAGGUCUUCGGAUUGUAAAGCACUUUAAGUUGGGAGGAAGGGCAGUAAGUUAAUACCUUGCUGUUUUGACGUUACCAACAGAAUAAGCACCGGCUAACUUCGU